UACGUAGGUGGCAAGCGUUGUCCGGAUUUACUGGGCGUAAAGGAUGCGUAGGUGGAUAUUUAAGUCAGAUGUGAAAUACCCGAGCUUAACUUGGGUGCUGCAUUUGAAACUGGAUAUCUAGAGUGCAGGAGAGGUAAGUGGAAUUCCUAGUGUAGCGGUUAAAUGCGUAGAGAUUAGGAAUAACACCAGUGGCGAAGGCGACUUACUGGACUGUAACUGACACUGAGGCAUGAAAGCAUGGGGAGCAAACAGG
rnacentral:rRNA from 1 species